AAGAGGCAAUGACCAUGCAGAUAAACACAAAUAUUUCCAACAUGAAAGCCUUUCUUAUUAUCUUAUGCUUUCUCUUAGCAACCAUCAUCGUCUUCUCUCCCUCAUCCACCAGUGCUGCUCGAGAAUUACUGCAGGUCGGGAAAGAUCCAUAUAGGGGAUCAGGCCCCGUCAAUUCAGGACCUCCAUGCGGUAGGAGCAAACAAAAUUGCCACCCCAGUCCAAAGCCAGGACCAAAUAAACCAAGUAAAAGUUGUCAAUCUUCUGUUAGGCAAUCUGAUUGUGGCCCAAAUUGAAGAUUGAAGGCAAGCAAGGUUGUAUACGUACUUAAGAGUGACAGCAGCUAGUCAUGUCAUGUGUGUGUAUGCUAUUUUCAUUCGAGUCGAGCUAUAUACAUUUAUGUAAGAAAAAUAAAUUAACUUCCAGCAUGAUCGGGUUUUGAUUCCAUGAAAUUGUGUAAUCUUUGUUGAAGUUUAUGCAAAAUAAACAAAGAGCUCGCUAUCUUCUCUUCUA